GUGUGCACAGUGACUGAGGGAGCUCAAUCCUGAGUGUGCAUAGUAAAGAGCCAUGCACAGCUGACUGAGUGUGCAUUGUGCUGAUUGUGCACAGAGCUGAGCGUGCACAGAGCUGAGCGUGCGCUGUGCUGAGGGUGCGCAGA